rnacentral:rRNA from 1 species
AUUGAACGCUGGCGGCAGGCCUAACACAUGCAAGUCGAGCGGAUGAAGGGAGCUUGCUCCUGGAUUCAGCGGCGGACGGGUGAGUAAUGCCUAGGAAUCUGCCUGGUAGUGGGGGAUAACGUCCGGAAACGGGCGCUAAUACCGCAUACGUCCUGAGGGAGAAAGUGGGGGAUCUUCGGACCUCACGCUAUCAGAUGAGCCUAGGUCGGAGUAGCUAGUUGGUGGGGUAAAGGCCUACCAAGGCGACGAUCCGUAACUGGUCUGAGAGGAUGAUCAGCCACACUGGAACUGAGACAGGGUCCAGGGUCCUACGAGAGGCAGCAGUGGGGAAUGUUGGACAAUGGGCGAAAGCCUGAUCCAGCCAUGGCGAGUGUGUGGAGAAGGUGUUCGGAGUGUAAAGCACGUUAAGUUGGGAGGAAGGGCAGUAAGUUGAUACCUUGCUGUUUUGACGGUACCGACAGAAGAAGCACCGGCUAACUUCGUG